ACAUGCAAGUCGAACGAUGACGAUGGUGCUUGCACCGUCUGAUUAGUGGCGAACGGGUGAGUAACACGUGAGUAACCUGCCCUCCUCUUCGGGAUAACCGCCGGAAACGGUGGCUAAUACCGGAUAUGAAUGCCUGCCGCAUGGUGGGUGUUGGAAAGAGUUUAUCGGUGGGGGAUGGACUCGCGGCCUAUCAGUUUGUUGGUGAGGUAAUGGCUCACCAAGGCGAUGACGGGUAGCCGGCCUGAGAGGGCGACCGGCCACGCUGGGACUGAGACACGGCCCAGACUCCUACGGGAGGCAGCAGUGGGGAAUAUUGCACAAUGGGCGAAAGCCUGAUUGCAGCGACGCCGCGUGGGGGAUGACGGCCUUCGGGUUGUAAACCUCUUUCAGUAGGGAAGAAGCGGGAGUGACGGUACCUGCAGAAGAAGCGCCGGCUAACUACGUGCCAGCAGCAGC
rnacentral:rRNA from 1 species